UACGAAGGGUGCUAGCGUUGCUCGGAAUCACUGGGCGUAAAGGGUGCGUAGGCGGGUCUUUAAGUCAGGGGUGAAAUCCUGGAGCUCAACUCCAGAACUGCCUUUGAUACUGAAGAUCUUGAGUUCGGGAGAGGUGAGUGGAACUGCGAGUGUAGAGGUGAAAUUCGUAGAUAUUCGCAAGAACACCAGUGGCGAAGGCGGCUCACUGGCCCGAUACUGAUGCUGAGGCACGAAAGCGUGGGGAGCAAACAGG
rnacentral:rRNA from 1 species